UUAAGUGCUGCCUGAAUGCAUGUGCUGAUUCCUGCUGCAGAAUUUCUGGGGCUGCUUUUGGCUUAACCCCCGAAUCUGAGUGAAAUUCAAUGAGCGAAGACAAUGAACCUUGCUCGUGGCCUGGGGUCGACUGAGGACCACGGGGUGAGUGAUAAAGGUCAGAAACAGACGGAGGUGCCAGGAGAAAUCUAUGCACGCCAGUACACUGCCAACAGGCCCAGAUCUCUCUGCCUCUCGCCACCUCCCCCACGCCCUACCACCCCAGGCCACGGGAACUACUAAGUGCGAAGAGGAGCCCGGAGCUCUGCUCCGCGCCUGCGCUUAGCCAAUCCACGUUCACCCUGGAUACACGCCCCUCCCAGCUCCUCCAGAUGUUCCCAGGACGAAAGCUAAGUCUUCCCCGCCGGCGCGCGCCGCUUCCGCCCCGGAGGGAAGGAGUGCCCCUCCCCCCUACAAAGAAACACUCUCCCAAGGCUGGGCCGGGCCGGGCCUGGUAAACCUCC